rnacentral:lncRNA from 1 species
GUGAUAUAAAAUGGGAGGAAGGAUCUGACUGUGACAGUUUGGAUCUUGGCUAAUCUAAAAAAGGAAACGUUACCCUUUCCUACAAGCACUGAUGAGCAGACAGCCUACAAAUAAAACAUAGUCUUGAGCCAGUUCAAGAGUGGUCUGGUAUCUGCGGUUUCCAGGAUAACUGUUCAAGAAUGUUCAUAGCAAGUGUUGGAAUCUACCCUCCCCUGGCACCUGGUGGGAAGCAGGCCUCUGUGUGUCUCUAAUCUGAACCAUGGUCAUCUGAAUGAGGAAGGACUGAUACAGGUGGAUCUUACUGUAGUUGUGUCUCCUUUGCCUGAUGCUGUGAGAUCGGAGCCCAUAAAAUUGGAAGUAAGUGUAUUACUUGUAUGACAUGGGAAGAUAAUCAUGGAAAUGGAAGUGUUUGUGUCCUUGGAAGUCAG